UUCAACCGCUCGUAUUUGAACAAUAGCUGACGGGCAUUGCAAAUCUGAUGCACAAAAUGGUCCAUUAAAUGUUACAGUGCUGAAGCAUGUAAAAGGAAGAACCAAUGAGAAGAGCAAAGAUGUGACGACACUUGAUUGGAAUGGUGAGGGGACAUUGCUUGCAACAGGUUCUUAUGAUGGUCAAGCGAGAAUUUGGACUACAGAUGGAGAACUAAGGUCUACUUUGAGUAAACACAAAGGGCCUAUAUUUUCUCUGAAGUGGAACAAGAAGGGUGAUUAUCUUCUUACGGGAAGCUUUGAUAAAACAGCAAUUGUGUGGGAUGUAAAGGCAGAAGAAUGGAAACAGCAGUUUGAGUUUCACACAGGUCCAACCCUUGAUGUUGAUUGGUGCAACAAUGUUUCAUUCGCAACAAGUUCCACUGACCAUAUGAUAUGUUUGCAAGAUUGGAGAAAUCCGCCCUAUUAAAACCUUUGCAGGGCAUCAGGGUGAGGUAAAUUGUGUCAAAUGGGAUCCGACAGGUUCAUUAUUGGCUUCUUGUUCCGAUGAUAUUACAGCAAAGAUAUGGUGCAUGAAGCAGGACAAGUAUGUUCAUGAUCUGAGGGAUCAUUCUAAGAAAU